UACGAAGGGGGCUAGCGUUGUUCGGAAUUACUGGGCGUAAAGGGCGCGUAGGCGGUACUUCAAGUCAGGCGUGAAAGCCCCGGGCUCAACCUGGGAACCGCGCUUGAGACUGGAGAACUAGAGUUCGGGAGAGGAUGGUGGAAUUCCCAGUGUAGAGGUGAAAUUCGUAGAUAUUGGGAAGAACACCGAUGGCGAAGGCAGCCAUCUGGGCCGACGCUGACGCUGAGGCGCGAAAGCGUGGGGAGCAAACAGG
rnacentral:rRNA from 1 species